AGGCGCCCUGUUUUUGUUUUUGUUUUUUUUUAAACAUUCUCUUUUAAAGAGAUUUAUAAAUAAAAAUCUUAUUAUUCCAAUAGUUACCAUUUCUGGUGCUCUUUGUUCCUCUGUGUAGAUCCAUUUAUCCAUCUGGUAUUCUACUUGAAGUUUUUUGGGUAUCUCUUACAGUGCUGGCUUUGCUGGUGAUGAAUUCUGUUAGCUUUCGUGUCUGAAAAAGUAUCUUUCACCUUUGUUUUUGAAAUACCUUUUUGUUGGGUACAGAAUUCUAACUUGACAGGCCUUUUUUUUCCUUUCAGUACUUUAAAAAUGUGGCUUCACUGUCCUCCUGCUUGUUAUUUUUUCCUGUAAGAAAUAUGCUGUCAGGUACAUAAUGUGUCAUUUUUCUCUGGCUGAUUUUGAGCAGUUGGAUGAUAAUGUGUCUUAAUACAGUUUUUUCCAUGUUCCUUUUGCUUGGAGUUGAUUGAGCUUCAGGGAUCUGCAGGUUUAUAAUUUUCAUCAAAAUUGGGAAAAUUUUGGCCAUUAUUAAAAGUUUUGUCCUCAAUUUCCUCUUUGGAAACUCCAACUACACUUAUAUAAGACCUCUUGAUGUUAUCCCGUAGCUCACUGAUAUGCUGUUUAUUUUUUAAAUUAUUUUUUCUCUGUUUCAUUUUGGAUAGUUGUAUUACUAGGUCUUCAAGCCCACUUGUCUUUUUUUUUUUUUUUCCUGAAGUGUCUAGUCAGCAAUUACAGUGUAAUCUUCAUCUUAGACAUUAUAGUUUUUCUCUCUAGAAGUUUGAUUUACAUCACUUCUGAUUGUUACUCUUUUUCUUCAGCUCUGUCGAGGUACAGUUGACAAAACUGUAAGCCGGUUAAGGUAUACAACAUGAUUCGAUACAUAUGACUGUGAGAGGCUUCUCCACCCCCCACGCCAGUUAAUUAGCACAUGACUUGGAUCUUCUUUUUAUAUCUUCACUAUCUUUACUUAAAUUUUCAACAAAUGGAAUAAAGUUAUAGUAAUUUCUAAUGUCCUUGCCUGCUAAUUCUAAUAUUUUUGUCAGUUCUCAGUUGGUGUCUGUUGGUUCACUCUCAUUAUUGGAUGUACUUUCCUGCUUCUUUGCAUGCCUUGUCAUUUGGAUUGAAUGCUAGGCAAUAUGAAUUUUACCUUACUGGAUACUUGAUAGUUUGUAUUUCUAUAAAUAUUCUUGAGCUUUGUUCUGGGACACACAUACGUUACUUGUAAACCAUUGUAUCCAGGACAUGAUUUAAGAUUUGUUAGGCAGAAUUUGAGAACUAUUUAGGAUUAACUCACCCCAUUACUGACUGAGGCAAAACUCUUGGAUACUGUAACAGGUGCCUCAUGAAUUACCAAGACUUUUGGUCUGACUAGUGGGAACAGAUACUGUUCCUGGUCCUGUGUGAGUGCUGAGUCGUAUUCCCUCUGACUUUUUGGGACAAUUUUUUUCUCAGCCUUAGAUAAUUUCUUCAAACCUAUAUGCUGUUCAUUACUCUCAUGGAUACUGGAGGAAACCUGCAGAUCUCUGAGAGUUUUCUCCUGGGCAACUUAACCCUCUUCAGUCCUGUGUACUGGACAUUCUAGCUGGCUUGGUUUCCCUAGAUUCUCAGUCUUAGCUCCUCAACCCGUGGAAUUUGCCAGGCUUUGCCCACCCUGCCCCCAAAGCACACUGCAGCUUGGAAAUUCCCUCAAGGCAGCAGGCUGAGGCAAUCGUAAAGCUUACCUCAUUCGUCUCCUGCUUUUCAGGAUCACUGUCCUUUCUACCUGGUGUGCAGUUGUCUUGUUUUGUGCUUUUUUGUGUGUAUUGGUUGUUUUGGGCAGGAGGGUAAAUCCUUGUUACUGCAUCUUGACCGGAAGUGGAAGGUAAUUCCUGGGUUUUGACAGGUAGUGUACUCACCAUCCUUCCUUUAAAUGGUCUGUAUUUUUAUGUUUGAUUUUUCUCUCUAAAUUGAGUUGUUUAGAUCCUUUUUAAAUUUCUAAGUGACUUUUUUUUCCUUCUACUGUGACUUUUAAUUUUAUAGCCUGUGGACAGAGAAUGUGGCCAAUGUGACAUGAACUUGUAGAGAUAACGAACCAGCUCACUGGCUGGAUGAUCACAGGCUUUGUGUAGGUUUCCUGGCAGUGACCUAGCUAUGCUGACUCGCGGCCCGCACACCUAUCCUGGGGUUGCUGAGGAGGACCUGGAGCCACACCCAUCCUCCUUGGCUGGCCCUUCUGCCUGUGAGUUCCAUCCCGCACUGUGUGGUGUCUGCAAGGUAUUUGCCUAAAGGUUUCUUUUCCCAAUUUUUAUAAUGGUUCCAUGCAUGUCUGAAAAACAUUUAUUUUCUCUGUCUCAAAAUUCUGUCUUUACAAAAUUAUCUCUUACCUGACAAGAUUUGUAAAUCAAACAUGUUAGAAUGAGGAGUCAUUUAAAAAAUGAAAAUGCAUCCAUUUUAAUUUAAUACACAUAGAUAUACAUUCAUCUGCCAAUCUUUUGAUGUAGGGCCAAGGCCUUUUCCUUACAUCUAGCUACACCAGUUGGAGUUUAGUUGGCCUUUCUUGUAUAAAUCACUGCCAGACUGCGUUGCCUAUAAUUUCCAUUUUGGGUUUCUUUAUAGUGGAAUACAAAUGCAGAGAAACUUGUGAAGGAUUCAAGUUUUCUAGGAUUCUAGUAUUUUUUUUUUUUACAGUUGUCUUGCACACAUUUAAUCUGACAGCAAAUUCUUACAAUGAUUUAUCCUUACUGAAUCAUUACCAAGUAUUCAACUAGUUUUCUAGAAAUUGUUAUUUUACAAAUUCAUAUUUCACAUUCAUGUUCUUAUUCACUGGCUUAUAUAAUAUUCAGGUUAAGAAGUUAUAUUAAUGAGAACUAGCAUAAGCAGGUUUGGAACCACUUACCUAGUAAGAGCAAGAACAGGUGAACAUAGAGGAGGGGUUGACUAGCACCUAGCUUGCAAUAUGUCAAGGACAAAGACAUUUAUUACAGAAAGAAUGGAGAACAUCAGUUAACCCAACAAAUCGGUUAUGUGGAAUUCAAGGAGUUAAAUGUGCUAAUAUGGUAGAUAAGUUCUAUUAAUUACAUGUUUUAAGUUCUGUAUAUUUUUCUCUUCUUGAUCUCUUAGUUCUGAAAGAGAUGAUUUUAAUUUAUCAUUUUCUCUGAGUAAUAAUACAUCGUGCAGUUAGUGUAUAUCCUGAAGCGCUGCUAGAUGCAAAAAGAGGUAUGACGUUCCUUCCCCGUGUCCUGUAAUCGGUUAUUAAUGGAAAUAUCGUUGACCCAUCUUCAUGCUAUUAACUUUGGACUCUAUUCUGUUUUAUACUGCUGUUUCACAUCUUAUUUUUUGUUAAUAUUGGCCUGCUUUGUCUUUGUCUAUUUGUUAAUUUUUAAUACCUUUAUGUCACUUGAUUUUAGGAAUAUCUCUUAUAGUAAGGUAUAUUUUAAUUUAUUCCUGCUUUACCUACUUGCGUAUAUAGGUUUAUAGGAUUGAUCACCUUUUCUCUUUUUUUUCCUUCCUUCCAGGGCAGCAUUUAAUAACCCUGGAUGCAGACUGGAAUCCCCUUUCAAAAAUCAACUUAAUGCCCAGUGAAUCAUGGAAUACUACAUCAAAAACUAAUGAUGUAAUGUAUGGUGACUAACAUAACAUAAAAAAAAAAAAAAAAAAUCAACUUAAUGCCUAAACUUUACCCCAGAAUCUCAGGGGAGGAGAGUGGUAUCAGUAUUUUUUAAAAGAGUCUGGUAUGUAGUCAGAAUUGAAAACCCUAGUGUCAUACUAUUUCUAUUCCUGCAGUGUAUUCCUUUAAAUUCUCAUCCAUCAUAUUAAAUUUAUAGUCUUUUAUCAGACAGACUGAAACAGUUGUAGCAGUCAAGGUAAAAUCAGAGUGAUAAAGUAUAAGGGACUUACUGUGGGGAUUUAACCUUACACAGCUGUGAUUGCAGGUGGAAAAAUCUGCUGCCCUGCAUCUGGUGUUGGGCCUGAAGUCAUAAAUAAGUUUGCCAGAUCCACAGCUGGGAAGAAAAGCUGAACAAGAACAGGAGCAGGAGCAAACCGGAAACUGCUAGAAAACAAACACAGAGCUUGCAUCUGUCUCUCAUCACUCUGCCUUAGAUGACUCAGAUGAUGCCUGCAGGUGUAACCGGCACUCUUGGCUACAGAACUGCACGUAUCUUUGGCUCAGGACUCAGAGAAGUUGGAGGACAUGUGGCAGGACCUGGAGGAGCCAUGGGCUGGGUGCUGCCCCACGCCAGCAAGGUGAACCAGGAGAUAGCAAUGUGCAUGAGAGUUCAAAACAUAAUCAAGAAAACGUAAUUUUUCAAGUUGGAAGAAAAAUCCAAUUAUGAUUUUUAAAUAUGAUUGUGUGAAGCCCACAGAUAAUAGGCAUUCAGGCCUGAAUGUAAAAUGACUUGUGGCUGGAGUAUAAACACAUCAAGUCACAGAUUGAGGUCCUCUAGUUUCUAUUUUAAGAUGGGCCUCCCUCCAAAUUUGGCGAUCUAUGGAAAAAGUAAAGCUGUUUCCUUAUCUGCAAAGGAAGAACUCUAAACCCAGAAUGAACCAUCUUAUUCUUAGAUGCACAGUGUUUGAUACACUCCAAGGAUUCAGCGUUUGUUGAACUGAAUCGAGAUAAAAUGCAGUUCAAAUUUCAUGAAAGUCUUUAUAGAGUGUCAAUUUUAUACAAGGUGCAUUUUGAAGAUUAUAUUUGGCUUCUAUUUUUACUUUUUUUUUUUACAGUGAUAAAGGGUAAAGGCAAAAGAUUUAUCAUCCUUUAUUCCCCAGAUCACUAGAUUGAAGUAAAUAGCAGUUGUCAGUAAUUAACAGCAGUAAACCUGAUGUCAACAUUUCUCAAGACUAAGCUCCACAAAGCCGUUGAAAGGAAGAGAUAUUAACAUCAACUGGUAAGUAUUCAUGAGGUACCUACUGCCUGUUUAAAAAUAUUUUAUAAACUGUAGGACAGUUUACAGGUGUGAAAUAGUUUCAUUACUUUGGUGACUACUAACUAGUACUACUACCCUUAUUAUAUGGCUCCGUGUGAGUCUUAUGAAAGUACACAAAUAAAUGUGUUUGGAAAUAAAAGUCUAGUUAAAUAGGAUGUAGAUAAAGCAUAUCAGAUAAAGUUCACUAGAACACAAUUUUAACAGUGUUAGUUUUAUGAACUUGCUGUCACAAUUAACAGGAGGAACCAGGGGCCUCUCUUAAGAGGGAGUAGUAGGGAAGGACAUUUUAAAAGGUAGGGUUUGGAAUAGUUCUAAAGAGGAACCAGGGGGAGUGGGGAUCGCCUCUGGAUUGAUUAUCACAGUAAUCUUUGCUUAGGAAGUGAGAGAGCAAAGCAGGUCUGGGGAAGUUCUGGUGAGAAAGCCCAAUUAAAAAAAAAUAUAUAUAUAUAUAUAAAUAUAUAAUAUUAAAAACCAUGUCAGUGCUCACAAUAGCCUAAGGGUGGAAGCAACCCAAGUGUCCAUCAACUGACGACUGGAUCAACAAGAUGCCAUGUGCCAUAUAUAUAUAAUGAAAUAUCAGUCAGCCUUAAAAAGGAAGAUAAUUAUGAUGCACACUGUAACACGGAUGAAAUUUGAGGACAUUGUGCUAAGUGAAAUAAGCCAGACAUAAAAGGACAAAUAUUGUAUGAUUCCACCUAUAUGAGAUACUUCGUGUAGUCAAAUUCAGUGAGACAGAAAGUAGAAUGGUGUUUGCCA